rnacentral:rRNA from 1 species
GACGUAGGGCGCGAGCGUUGUCCGGAUUUAUUGGGCGUAAAGAGCUCGUAGGCGGCUUGUCGCGUCGUUCGUGAAAACCUGCAGCUCAACUGCAGGCUUGCGGGCGAUACGGGCAGGCUAGAGUUCGGUAGGGGAGACUGGAAUUCCUGGUGUGAGCGGUGAAAUGCGCAGAUAUCAGGAGGAACACCAAUUGCGAAGGCAGCUCGCUGGGACGUUACUGACGCUGAGGCGCGAAAGCGUGGGUAGCAAACGGG